rnacentral:rRNA from 1 species
CAAAUGAAUUGACGGGGCCGCACAAGCGGUGGAGCAUGUGGUUUAAUUCGACGCAACGCGAAGAACCUUACCAGGGCUUGACAUCCCCUGACCGCGUAUGAAAGUACGUUUUCACCCUCGGGUGACAGGGAGACAGGUGGUGCAUGGUUGUCGUCAGCUCGUGUCGUGAGAUGUUGGGUUAAGUCCCGCAACGAGCGCAACCCUUAUCCUUUGUUGCCAGCGGUCCGGCCGGGAACUCAAAGGAGACUGCCAGUGAUAAACUGGAGGAAGGUGGGAUGACGUCAAGUCAUCAUGGCCCUUACGACCAGGGCUACACACGUGCUACAAUGGCGCAUACAAAGAGAAGCGACCUCGCAAGAGCAAGCGGACCUCAUAAAGUGCGUCGUAGUCCGGAUUGGAGUCUGCAACUCGACUCCAUGAAGUCGGAAUCGCUAGUAAUCGUGGAUCAGAAUGCCACGGUGAAUACGUUCCCGGGCCUU